GACGAACGCUGGCGGCGUGCUUAACACAUGCAAGUCGAACGGAGUGGCGAACGGGUGAGUAACACGUGGGUGACCUGCCCUGCACUUCGGGAUAAGCCUGGGAAACUGGGUCUAAUACCGGAUAGUGUGGGAUGGGCCCGCGGCCUAUCAGCUUGUUGGUGGGGUAAUGGCCUACCAAGGCGGCGACGGGUAGCCGGCCUGAGAGGGUGGACGGCCAAAUUGGGACUGGGAAACCGGCCAGAAUUCUACGGGAGGCAGGAGUGGGGAAUAUUGCACAAUGGGCGGAAGCCUGAUUGAGGGGCGCCGCGUGGGGGGUGACCGCCUUCGGGUUGUAAACCCCUUUCACCAUCGACGCGGUAGAUGGAGAAGAAGCACCGGCUAACUACGUGCCAGCAGCCGCGGUAAUAC
rnacentral:rRNA from 1 species